CUAAUCUCCGGUCGUGCCUACACCCGUACUGACGUUCCCCGCGAAUUUUUAUCCACGCCGCUCCUCCAAAUCCACUCAUUUUCCACACGUAGCUGACAUGCGGCAUUUGCUGAGAGAUGGGCAAUAGAAAAUGGUGUUUUUCCUCGGGAUGUGGAUUUGUACACGUUUUGGUCUUUUGAACCGAGUGGGUUUGAUAGCGGGACAACUUCCCUGCACGACGCAGGGACAGACAACAAUAGAUUAUAAAACAAUCUGCUGCAGUUCAGCUGCAAGGUGAACGACUGGAUGAUGAGGUGGAAUUUUUGCAUUUUCUUUCCACAUCCAACAAAAUCCCGUGUGGUAAAGCGACGCAUGUCGGCUGCGUGCCGCUCAGAAAAUCCACAGGCAGGCAGGAUGGCCCCGCCGUCCUGCCUGCCAUAUGCCUUUUCCACCGAGGUCAUCCGAGGAGAGCAGCGGGUGCAGGAAAUAUAGGAAAGGUACAGGAGGUGUUUUUUUUUCCUUUUCUGUCUUUGGGUGGGGUUUUUGCCUCGCUUUAUUGCGGCCACGUUUUUGCGCGCACGCCAUUUUUGCCGUGCGCUUUUACGCACAGCGACACCGACUGAACGGAGGAGUGAUGAAGACAAAAGAAAAGGCAAAGAGCACCGGGGGCCAAGCGCUGGUUGAGGUAGUAGUUUGUGCUGUUGGUCGGGUUGUCAUAUUACCCCUAUGUGGAGAUGACUGCGCAAUCUACUGCCUUGCUGGCGCUGGUGACUUGCGUCAGAGGAGUCGAACGGAUCCAACUGAAUGACUGAGCUCACGGUGUAGUUGGUAAACAGAAUACGUUAAACCGAGAUGGAUAUACCUUCAAAAUAAUUACCUCUCCAGUGUUGUGCGUAUAUUAUCAGAAGGUGUGAACUUGGUCAGAUAUGUUUGAAUGGAACCCGUGUAAAGCUAAAAUAUGUGCUACUACAUAAAAUAAAGUGAUUUCAAUGGCAUGUAUCACGUGCGGUUGUGUUUCUUUUCUCCAAUUCAUAAUUUACUAGCCAACGAAAGUCAGGAUGUGUAUCCAGAAGUCAAAGAAACUGAAUUGAGUUCUUAUCUAGAUCGUUUUUUUGAAUUUAUCGUCUUAACAUGUAAAUGCUAUCCAAUGCACUGGUAUUCACCUUUGGGCUAGUAUAAAAUAUAUGAUAUAGGGACUGUACGAAAAUUACUUAUUUUUAUUCAGUAUUUUAGGCGGUUGGUAAGUGAUUGACCCCUUGGAGAGCUCACAGCUUUACUUUAUAAUGCAUCUUAACAGAAAGCAGCAAACUGUGU